UUCCAUGGCAGCUCCCAGUCCACGGUCACGGGUCCAAGCUUCUCACGACCCAGCCCGAGAUGCCUGACAGCAUCAUUUCCCCUGCGUCCUAUGGGCCAGAAAGGCAGUGCACUUGCCAGCCUUGGCCUGGCCACAUAGCGUCCUGGAGGCCAGAGUGAGCAUCCGCCAGAGAGCCCAUCCUAGAGGUUGGUCCGGUCCUGCCCAACAGCCAGGCGGGCCUCUUCCUCCACACACGCGGGACCCAAGAAUGCCAGCAAGGUGCCACCCCUGCAGGAAGCAGC